rnacentral:rRNA from 1 species
GUGGAUUAGAUACCCUGGUAGUCCACGCGGUAAACGAUGAGUGCUAGGUGUAGGAGGUAUCGACCCCUUCUGUGCCGCAGUAAACACAAUAAGCACUCCGCCUGGGGAGUACGGCCGCAAGGUUGAAACUCAAAGGAAUUGACGGGGGCCCGCACAAGCAGCGGAGCAUGUGGUUUAAUUCGAAGCAACGCGAAGAACCUUACCAGGUCUUGACAUCCAGGUAAAGCCUAAGAGAUUAGGUGUGCCUUCGGGCAAUCUGAGACAGGUGGUGCACGGCCGUCGUCAGCU